GGGUUGUGAGGUUAAGCGACUAAGCGUACACGGUGGAUGCCCUGGCAGUCAGAGGCGAUGAAGGGCGUGCUAAUCUGCGAUAAGCGCCGGUAAGGUGAUAUGAACCGUUAUAACCGGCGAUACCCGAAUGGGGAAACCCAGUGUGACUCGUCACACUAUCAUUAACUGAAUCCAUAGGUUAAUGAGGCGAACCGGGGGAACUGAAACAUCUAAGUACCCCGAGGAAAAGAAAUCAACCGAGAUUCCCCCAGUAGCGGCGAGCGAACGGGGAGGAGCCCAGAGCCUGAAUCAGCAUGUGUGUUAGUGGAAGCGUCUGGAAAGGCGCGCGAUACAGGGUGACAGCCCCGUACACAAAAGCGCAUGUGCUGUGAGCUCGAUGAGUAGGGCGGGACACGUGGUAUCCUGUCUGAAUAUGGGGGGACCAUCCUCCAAGGCUAAAUACUCCUGACUGACCGAUAGUGAACCAGUACCGUGAGGGAAAGGCGAAAAGAACCCCGGCGAGGGGAGUGAAAAAGAACCUGAAACCGUGUACGUACAAGCAGUGGGAGCNNGUGACUGCGUACCUUUUGUAUAAUGGGUCAGCGACUUAUAUUCUGUAGCAAGGUUAACCGAAUAGGGGAGCCGGAGGGAAACCGAGUCUUAAUUGGGCGUUAAGUUGCAGGGUAUAGACCCGAAACCCGGUGAUCUAGCCAUGGGCAGGUUGAAGGUUGGGUAACACUAACUGGAGGACCGAACCGACUAAUGUUGAAAAAUUAGCGGAUGACCUGUGGCUGGGGGUGAAAGGCCAAUCAAACCGGGAGAUAGCUGGUUCUCCCCGAAAGCUAUUUAGGUAGCGCCUCGUGAAUUCAUCUCCGGGGGUAGAGCACUGUUUCGGCUAGGGGGCCAUCCCGGCUUACCAACCCGAUGCAAACUGCGAAUACCGGAGAAUGUUAUCACGGGAGACACACGGCGGGUGCUAACGUCCGUCGUGAAGAGGGAAACAACCCAGACCGCCAGCUAAGGUCCCAAAGUCAUGGUUAAGUGGGAAACGAUGUGGGAAGGCCCAGACAGCCAGGAUGUUGGCUUAGAAGCAGCCAUCAUUUAAAGAAAGCGUAAUAGCUCACUGGUCGAGUCGGCCUGCGCGGAAGAUGUAACGGGGCUAAACCAUGCACCGAAGCUGCGGCAGCGACACUGUGUGUUGUUGGGUAGGGGAGCGUUCUGUAAGCCUGUGAAGGUGUGUCGUGAGGCAUGCUGGAGGUAUCAGAAGUGCGAAUGCUGACAUAAGUAACGAUAAAGCGGGUGAAAAGCCCGCUCGCCGGAAGACCAAGGGUUCCUGUCCAACGUUAAUCGGGGCAGGGUGAGUCGACCCCUAAGGCGAGGCCGAAAGGCGUAGUCGAUGGGAAACGGGUUAAUAUUCCCGUACUUGGUGUUACUGCGAAGGGGGGACGGAGAAGGCUAUGUUGGCCGGGCGACGGUUGUCCCGGUUUAAGCGUGUAGGUGUGUGUUCCAGGUAAAUCCGGUUCACUUUAACACUGAGGCGUGACGACGAGGCACUACGGUGCUGAAGCAACAAAUGCCCUGCUUCCAGGAAAAGCCUCUAAGCAUCAGGUAACAUCAAAUCGUACCCCAAACCGACACAGGUGGUCAGGUAGAGAAUACCAAGGCGCUUGAGAGAACUCGGGUGAAGGAACUAGGCAAAAUGGUGCCGUAACUUCGGGAGAAGGCACGCUGACACGUAGGUGAAGUGAUUUACUCAUGGAGCUGAAGUCAGUCGAAGAUACCAGCUGGCUGCAACUGUUUAUUAAAAACACAGCACUGUGCAAACACGAAAGUGGACGUAUACGGUGUGACGCCUGCCCGGUGCCGGAAGGUUAAUUGAUGGGGUCAGCGCAAGCGAAGCUCCUGAUCGAAGCCCCGGUAAACGGCGGCCGUAACUAUAACGGUCCUAAGGUAGCGAAAUUCCUUGUCGGGUAAGUUCCGACCUGCACGAAUGGCGUAAUGAUGGCCAGGCUGUCUCCACCCGAGACUCAGUGAAAUUGAACUCGCUGUGAAGAUGCAGUGUACCCGCGGCAAGACGGAAAGACCCCGUGAACCUUUACUAUAGCUUGACACUGAACAUUGAGCCUUGAUGUGUAGGAUAGGUGGGAGGCUUUGAAGUGUGGACGCCAGUCUGCAUGGAGCCGACCUUGAAAUACCACCCUUUAAUGUUUGAUGUUCUAACGUGGACCCGUUACCCGGGUUGCGGACAGUGUCUGGUGGGUAGUUUGACUGGGGCGGUCUCCUCCUAAAGAGUAACGGAGGAGCACGAAGGUUGGCUAAUCCUGGUCGGACAUCAGGAGGUUAGUGCAAUGGCAUAAGCCAGCUUGACUGCGAGCGUGACGGCGCGAGCAGGUGCGAAAGCAGGUCAUAGUGAUCCGGUGGUUCUGAAUGGAAGGGCCAUCGCUCAACGGAUAAAAGGUACUCCGGGGAUAACAGGCUGAUACCGCCCAAGAGUUCAUAUCGACGGCGGUGUUUGGCACCUCGAUGUCGGCUCAUCACAUCCUGGGGCUGAAGUAGGUCCCAAGGGUAUGGCUGUUCGCCAUUUAAAGUGGUACGCGAGCUGGGUUUAGAACGUCGUGAGACAGUUCGGUCCCUAUCUGCCGUGGGCGCUGGAGAACUGAGGGGGGCUGCUCCUAGUACGAGAGGACCGGAGUGGACGCAUCACUGGUGUUCGGGUUGUCAUGCCAAUGGCACUGCCCGGUAGCUAAAUGCGGAAGAGAUAAGUGCUGAAAGCAUCUAAGCACGAAACUUGCCCCGAGAUGAGUUCUCCCUGAGACUUUAGGUCUCCUGAAGGAACGUUGAAGACGACGACGUUGAUAGGCCGGGUGUGUAAGCGCAGCGAUGCGUUGAGCUAACCGGUACUAAUGAACCGUGAGGCUUAACCUUACAACGCCGAAG
rnacentral:rRNA from 1 species